rnacentral:misc_RNA from 1 species
ACAGAAUUUAAAUUCUGCAGAUGGCCAAAAACCAAAUUGCUUCAUGAGUGAGUUGUUUCAACAGUCAAUAAAUUCGAUAAAACCUGAAAUCUAGAAGCAAAAAAGCUGACUAAUCCAAUUUUGUAUUUAAGUUGGAACCUUAAAAAACUUGCUUAAAAUAUUGAUUGGAACUAUUAGAAUAUGACCAAGAAGGAAAUUAAGAGCACUAAGUACGUGCACAAUUGCAUGAUAUUAAUAGAUGCAGUUGCAUAAGCUUAAUUAACCCCCUGUCCACAAGUAUUUAAUUCUCAUGCAUUAGAAGAAGCUUCUGAGAACCCUAUGCACCCAAAGGAUACUUCUUUUUUCCUCCUAUUUUAAGAAAAUUUGACUUAGAGAUAUCAUCCAGGAUAUAUCAGAAUCACAAGUUGUUACUUCAAUCAGCAGCAGCAUGCACCGUGCAGGUUUGUGAGCAUAUAAUUCAUGGCAGUUGGUGUAAAACAAUGACAAAGGAAAAAAAAAACAUUUACAGUUUGA